CCCCCAAUUUAUUUGAAAGUUAGAGUUACAGGGUGGGGGGAGGGAGGGAGGUCUUCCAUCCACUGGUUCACCCCCCAAAUGGCCGCAACUGCCCGGGCUGGGCUGAUAUCAGAAGCCGGGAGCCAGGAGCUUCCUCUGGGUCUCCCAUGCGGGUGCAGGGGCCCAAGGACUUGUGCCAUCUUCUACUGCUUUCCCAGGUCACAGCAGAGAGCUGGAUGGGAAGUGGAGCAGCCGGGACUAGAACCAGCACCCAUAUGGGAUGCCGCCACUGCAGGCAGAGGAUUAAGCUGCUACGCCACAGCGCCGGCCCCUGCUCCACUUCUGAUCCAGCUCCCCCGCUAACGCACCUGGGAGAGCAGCAGAGGACGGCCCAAGAGCUGGGGCCCCUGCACCCACGUGGGAGACCUGGAUGGACUCCUGGCUCCCGACUUUGGAUCGGUGCAGCUCUGGCUGCACGUGGCCAUUUGGGAGUGAACCAGCUGAUGGAAGACCUCUCUGUCUGUAACUGUAGCUCUCAAAUAAAUAAAUAAAAAUAUUAAAAAAAAAAAAGAAGAAGAAGAAGUGGAGCAGCUGGGACCGGAACCGGUGCUCAUAUGGGAUGCUGGUGUAGCAGGCUGCGGUUUAACCCGCUGAGCCACAGCACCGGCCGCUGGUUUUCAAAGUAUGUGUUAGGUGAGAUGGAGGCUGGUGAAACGCAGGGACUGGAAUUGUUUACAUAACAAAGCCUUGGAGUACCGGAACCGUUGUGUUUAGUGUUUAAUCACUGUAAUACUGUUUCGUGUUGGUUAAUCAGUUCCCGAAUCUUUGGGAAUCGUCGAAGUGUGUGCCAGAAUCGUGCCAGUGGGGAGGCUGUGUUGCUGAACUCCUGCCCAGGCUGAGGUCACAGCGGCUGGUACAGACACCCUCUAUCUGAGUUAGAGGGGUGUGCAUGGGGUGGGGAGACUGAGCUGUGAUGAGGAAGUUAAGCGCGUAUCAGUCGUGGCAUAGUGCAGCGAAACUGAUGAGGAAUGGGAUUUGCUUUUAAAAGUUAAUUGCUAGGCAGAGACAGACAGGAAUCUUCCAUCCGCUGGCUUACUCUCCUGAUGCCAGCAGCAGCCAAAGCCAGGAACCUGGGACGUCUGGGUCUCCCAGUGGGUGUCGGGGACCCGAGGGUGUGCACGAGCAGGGAGCUGGAGUCUGCAGUGGGGCCGGGACUUGGAUCCCGGCGUCUCGGCUGGGUGUCGAGCCCCCAGCGUGUCUGAGCCCUGGAGUUCUGUGUGCGUCUCCUGACAGGUUGUAGUCCAUGGCCUCAGCGGGGGCCCUCGAGGAGGGGUGCCGGCGUUUCCCAUGGGGCGUCCUCACACAGCCUGACUGUUACAGCUUUCUUCUAACCCCACUAUCCAGGAUUUAACUUUUUUCUGAUAAUUCUUAAAAUAAAUUUUUAAGGUAAGCAAAUCUCUUGUGUUUCUUAUAUACAGACUUAGGAACGCAGUGGUACUUCCCACCCGUCGCCCCCUUCCUCCCUCCUCCUCCCCAUUUUUACAUUCUUCUACUUUCAGUGUACUUAGUGCUCUGAGAUUUACCUUACGCUGAGUGAGAGCUCAGCGAUCAGUGAGGAGCAGCAGGGACCAGGGCUGUAGGGAGUCGCCGGUCUGAGGACGUCCGGACGAGGACGCCAGCGUUGGCCGAAUGGAAGUUGCACACCCGGGAGUGGCGGAGCCCGCGUUCAGACCCGGGGUCCCGUGCUCCAGAGCAGGGUGCACCACGCGAGGGUUGGAAAGAGGAGGGGACUUGGUGGGCUGUGUUGGAGGCAGUUUUUGCUAAGACUCAGAUUUUAAUGUUUGGAAACUCUGCUGGGGCUACUGUGUGGCAGGGCAGGUGAAGCCACCACCUGCAGUGCUGGCAUCCCACACGGGCGCUGGUUUGAGUCCCUGCUGCUCCACUGCUGAUGGCCUGGAAAAGCAGUGGAAGAUGGCCCAAGGGCUUGGGCCCCUGCACCCGUGUGAGAGACCCAGGUGAAGCUCCUGGCUUCUGCCUGACCCAGCACGGCCAUUGUGGCCAUCUGGAGAGUGAACCAGUGGAUAGAGAAUUUCUGUGUCUCCCCCUCUGUAACUCUGUUUCAAAGUAAAAUAAAUGAAAAAUAAUAUAGCAUUCCAGGUGAUUUUUUAACAAACUAUAGCAGCAUUUAAACGGUACUUUUUAAAAAAGUGUUACUUAUAUGAAAGAGUUAGGAGAGACAAGAGAUCUUCCACCUGCAGGUUUACUCCCCAAGUGGCCACAGUGACCGGGGCUGGGCCAGGCUAAAGCCAGGAGCCUGCAGCUUCUUCCAGGUCUCCUACUUGGAUGACGAGGCCCAAGGGCGUGGGCCGUCUUCCGCUCUCCCAGGCACAUCCACAGGGAGCGGCAUCAGAAGUGGAGCAGUCUGUGCUCGAACCAGCGCCCGUAUGGGAGCAGAUGCUGCCGAUUGUGGCUUCAGCCCUCUGCGCCUUAGCGCCAGCGCCCUAACCUACAAUUUGUCUGAGAAAUCAAAUCCUGGGAACGCGCUUGGCCUAGCAGUUACUGCACAGGUUAACUUUCCCAGGUCCUACGUCAGUGUGCGUGGGUUGUAUUCCCAGCCCUGCUAAUCCACAGCCUGGGAGGCGGCAGCUGAUGGCUCAAGUAGUCGGGUUCCUGACCCACGUGGGAGACCUGGCCUGAGUCCCGGCUUCUGGCUUAGGCCUUUGCAGGCGGGUGAGGAGCAAAUCAGGGGAUGGACACGCUGUCUCUUCUCUCAAAAAAAAAUUUAAAAAAAAUGAGGAAGUACCACAAAAAUGAACAGGUUCUCCCUGGGAUUUGUAAUGCGUUCCAGGGUUAGCACCUUCUUUCUUUCUUUUUUUUUUUUUUUUGACAGGCAGAGUGGACAGUGAGAGAGACAGAGAGAAAGGUCUUCCUUUGCCGUUGGUUCACCCUCCAAUGGCCGCUGCGGCCGGCGCACUGCGCUGAUCCGAUGGCAGGAGCCAGGAGCCAGGUGCUUUUCCUGGUCUGCCAUGGGGUGCAGGGCCCAAGCACCUGGGCCAUCCUCCACUGCACUCCCUGGCCACAGCAGAGAGCUGGCCUGGAAGAGGGGCAACCGGGACAGAAUCCGGCGCCCCGACCGGGACUAGAACCCAGUGUGCCGGCGCCGCUAGGCGGAGGAUUAGCCUAGUGAGCUGCGGCGCCGGCCCCAGGGUUAGCACCUUCUACAGAAGGAUGGGCCUCCUCUCCGCCGAGCAGGGAGCUGGAGUCUGCAGUGGGGCCGGGACUUGAAUCCCGGCGUCUCGGCUGGGUGUCGAGCCCCCAGCGUGUCUGAGCUGACACGUGUCAGUUCCUGGGGUGCCCUGGGCGGCUCUAGUGGGUAGUGGCAGCUCUGUUGCCCGCGCUCCGCUGUAGCCGCCCGCGGUGGCUGAUUGUUGCCAAGUGUUAGAGCUGAACUGCUUAGGCAGGAUCUUCAGAGCGCACCAGUUAGAUCUGGGUGCGCUGCGGUGUGCAAACAGACGUGGUGUGCGCUCAGUGAGCUGACGUCUGCAGGGCUUCCUGUGGAUGCCGUGAGGAGUUGAGGACGGCCCGGCGUGACGCUGUGCCUGUGGUGGUGAGGAGUUGAGGACGGCCCGGCAUGACGCUGUGCCUGUGCCGAGGGGAGGACUCGUUUCUGAAAUCCUGCAGUUUCCUAAGGAAAUGGAGAACUGCCCACCGCGUUUCCGAAUGCUUGGCUUGUAGCGUGGGAGAUGGUUUUGUGUGCCUCGCAGAUCUGUGCUGUUAGGUGGUGAUGCAGCUGUGGGCCCAGCGUGUCGGCUAGCCCUGCCGUAGUGCCGCGCCCCGGCACGGGGCUUCCUCGCUGGGGUUGGGAGUGAAGUUGGAAGGCUGGAGUAGUAAACAGUCGUUAUUAGCUUAUCCUAUAGAUUACACCUGUGCCAGCGCCACGCGGAGCUCUUGAUGUUGUGCGGCUGGUCUGACCCAGGAGGCCUUAUCUAGAACUAAUUUAAGUCUGUGGAAUAGGAGCUUUCCAUUCUGGAGAGUUAAUGGAAUAGACAGACAAGUGCAUGUCGCACCGGUCACCUUUGCUGGUUGUACCCUGCUGGAAGAGCCGGUCGGCUCGUGUUGACUUGGUUCAUGUGCUGCGUUACAGGGGCUGCGCGGGGAAUUGCAGUCUCACCUGUUAGGUCCUUGUUGCCCGUCUGUUGUGGGAGGUGAUGGCAGCACUGAGAGUCCUGGGGGCUGGCGGGGGAGGGGCUGCUACCAGGCCCAACUCCUGGGUAAAUGCGGGUGGGGGGAAACGAGGUGGGAAUACGCACUGUCGCUGCUCACUAGUGCCCAGGUGAAGUGUCGGGCAGACAGACGGACCCCUCUCCUGCUUCCUCCUGUGGGUGUGUAACUCGCUUCCUUAGACGGAUCUGCCAGUGGCCGGUGAGCUCGUGUUGCCUAGGCUGCUGCUGACGUGGCGCCCAGUGAGGACCCCUUCUCAGGGAACUUCGUGGUGGAGCACGUCAGAGGGGGUGACCUCUGACGUCUGCCCUGAGUGUGAGGAGGGAGCCAGUGCGGGGGAUUGGGAGGAAGUGGGGGCUUCGAGACUGAGGGGGUGGGCAAGAGGCCUGUUGGCAUUACCGACAGAAGGGGGUACCUUCCUGCGCUCAAAGAAAGCGGUGUAAGGAAGAGUUCCCCGUCUUGCCCAGUUCCCAGCUCCUCCUGCGCUGCGAGUUGGGAACAUGGUGGUCCUUUGAUCCGGGACCUUCCUCUGAACCCUGCGCGUCCUCCCGGCCUCCUGUAUUUCUCCCGUCGGGAGGGGCUCCUCUGACAACACGCCUUCAGCUAACAGCUUUUUUUUUUUCUUAGCUGUUUGCAGUUCACUGGAAGAAAAGCUGACUUUGUUGGGAGGAAGUCAUGGUACAUAAUAGGGCAUGUCUUUCUGAGAUGGUCGUUGGCAGUUAAGAAAAUGACUGUUUCCAGUCUUCCCCAUUCUUAGUCACCAGUCCCACUGACCAGGCGCCCGAGGCCUGAGGAGUCAUUUAACCCUUGGAAUCGGCAGCGAGCUCUCUGCAACUUGAGGGAUAGGUUGAAAUGAGCACUGUAGGAUAUUUAUCCUGCCUCGGAACAUUGCAGUGAAUUUUAUUCCAUUAGAUCCGUUCAGGUUAGGUCUUUUUGCCGAAAAUAUUUUCCACAAUAUUUGUUCCUGUGCCAGCCAAGUGCGCCCUGGAAUCAGGCACCCAGUGAGCGGCUGCCGUGCUGUGAGGGCGCGAGGGAGGGCCGCUCCGCUGAGUGACUUACUCGCUGGCCUCCUCCCGGACACUGCUGUCCCGAACAGGCUCGGGUCUCCUCCUGCCCGUGCCCACCACUUCCCUCAGUGCACAGGGACUCGCUGGCACUGGUGGUUCCUUCUCAUCUCGCGGGAGUGUGCAGUGAGUGCUGAGACACACGACCCACCCGGGACAGCUGCCACCCCGAGCCCUACAGAACACCAGACUCUUACCGUCAGGGCGGGUGGGCACAGAGGGUCUCAGAGGCAGUGCGUCUCCCCUCACCCCGGGAACCCUGCAGCUGCUACCAUAGUUUGGCUCUGGCAAUUGCUUCAUCGCCAAUUUUGUUGCAUCUUGAACUUUUGAAUCUUUGGCUUGUAGGUAUAAAUUGGUUUAAACAGAUGGACUUCAUUAAGCUGGAUGAACAAUGAUUGUAAAAAAAUAAAUAAAUAAAUAAAUACAGGGGCCGACACUGGCACAGUAGGUUAAGCUGCGGCCUGCAGUGCCAACAUCUCAUGUGGGCUCCACUUCCAAUCCAGCUCCCUGUUGCUACACCCAGAAAGCAGCAAAAGACAGCCCAAGUCCCUGGGCCCCUGCACCGACAUGGGAGACUCGGAAGAAGCUCCUGGCUCCUGGCUUCAGCCUGGCAUAGCCCUGGCUGUUGCGGCUAUUUGGGGAGUGAACCAGAAAAUGGAAAAUCUUUCUUUCUCUCUCUGUAACUCUGUUUUUCAAAAUAAAUUAAAAAAAAAAAAAAGUAAAUGCCGAGCAAGUGGAAGUGGGCUGAAUGGAAGGGCGUCCAUCAGGGUAACAGCCGAGUCGGAAAGAUUCAACUGUUUGCAAGGAACGGCAGUAAGGACAGCGAUGUUGAUGGCAAAGGCUGAUGGUCAAACCUUCACACCCCGUCCACGUCGGAUUCUGUAAGAUUCUUGUCUCCUUGAAAGGUGAUGUUUGUGAAACAAAGAAGAAAAUGUCCAGCGAAGGACAAUCAGAGUUGUGCUGGAUAAUUAGAAACAUCUAGGGACCGGUACUGUGGCAUAGCAGGUAAAGCCGCCACCUGCAGUGCCGGCAUCCCACAUGGGCAGCGGUUCGAGUCCCAGCUGCUCCACUUCUGAUCCAGCUCCCUGCUGCAGCCUGGGAAAGCAGCAGAAGAUGGUCUAAGUCCUUGGGCCCCGGUACCCGUGUGGGAGACUGGGAAGAAACUCCUGGCUCCUGGCUUUGGAUUAGCACAGCCCUGGGCAUUGCAGCCAUCUGGGGAGUGAACCAGCAGAUGGACGACCUUGCUCUGCCUCUACCUCUCUGUAACCCUGCCUUUCAAAUAAAUAAAUAAAAACUAAAGGAUGAGUCACAGCCCAGUAGAUCUAAGCAAAGUGAUACAUGAGACAGAUGAAAGAGAUGCCCAUUUUAUUUGGUGGUUAAAGGACAGAUCUAGGAAUUAACUCAUGUUCAAGAGAACAGCAUCUCAAUUUCAGAUGUAAUUUUAAAUAUUUUUCUGAUUAUGGAAGUAAUUUGCUUUCCUAAGAUGUUGAAAAAAGAUUUUUUAAAAAACCCACCUGUCAAAUAUCACUUUUUUUGUUUUUAAAGAUUUUAUUUAUUUGAGGGCUAGAGUUGCAGAGAGAGAGAGAGAGGGAGAGACAGACAGGUCUUUCAUCCACUGAUUCACUCCCUAAAUGGCCGCAAUGGCCAGAGCUGGGACGAGCUGAAGCCAGGAGCGCCAUCCGGUCUCCCACGUGGGCGGCAGGAGCCCACACUCUCGGGCCCUCUUCUGGUGCCUUACUAGGCACACUAGCAGGGAGCGGGGUUGGAAGUGGAGCAGCCGGGCCUGGAACCCGUGCUUCAGCGUGGGAUGCUGGUGUCCAGGCGUGGCGUAGCCCGCGGUGGAAAUCGCCAGCCCCAGAUCUCUUGCUUUAAUAUCCCCCUGUUCUUGCGGCAUGUCUCACUGUGGGUGAAAUGAAGUUGAGUAGAUUUUAGCAUUUCAUCAGCUCAUCCGCUCCUUCAUACAGGGCUUGAAAUACCCCCCUCCCCAAAUUAAUUUUUAAACAACAGGAGAAGCAAUUUUCUCUAAGAAUGGCAGUUCUUACUUUAAGAGAUUUCCAUUUGUUUAUGUAUAGAGAAAGGGUAAAAGAAGUAACAUACUUCUGGAAUUAUACACUUCCAAAAUGUGAUGACGAGAUAGUGUUAGUUUUAGAGGAGCGGUUAGAUGUCAUGAGAGGCCCUGGCAGAGUGGUCUCUGCGGCUGCAUGUAGAGCAUAGGCUUAUUGAAAGAGAAAGAAUGCUUCAGACCCUUGUGUGGGUCCCACCUCAGCCGUGCCCCUAGGCUUCCUUUCACUUCCUUGUUGAGAGGCGAGUAUUUUUAGUGCGCUGUGCUGGCUCAAAUCCUCCUUGCAGGCUCAGGUUCUCAGCCCAGCUGCUCCCAGCUCCUGCUGCCGCGUCCUCCCCACCCCCUCCUUGCAGCUGCGUUGUUGGCAAACCUCAGCUCCUUUGACGCGUCUCAAUCCCGUGUGGCCCCCCCAAGGGAGGGUUUAAUCGGCUCACCACUGGUUUAGCUUUUCUAAUAGCCACGUCGUCCUUAGCCUGCAGAGUCCCUCGGCUGACCAGUUGGGAGUCACAGCCUCCCCUCCGUUUAGCACGGACUCUCUGUGUCCUUGCACUCUGGUGUGCCCGUACUGAUGGCUGGGUGUUGUUACAGAAGUGGCUUGUGGCUGUGGUAGGCGUUCAGCUGUUGGGACACCGGCACUGGCGUCAUCAUACGCUGCUGUGUGGCUUUAGAAGCUGUGUGCAGUUACAUAGAGGAGUGCUUGGGAGUUGUCUUUGGGUCGGGAGACUUCUACAUAGUCUCUGUUUAGAAGCCAUUUGAUUUCACGUGGCCUCGAGUCCGCGAUCGUGCGGUGUCUGCUUGGGUGUGUGCAGCUGGUAAGCUGCUUCCCACUGCGUGUUGCUGACGUAGUGCUCCGUUGUGUUCUCAGCUCCACUGUGCAAGCUGCUUUGCCUGGUUUGCAACUUGAGAGUCUGAGAGGGCUUUACAGGCAGUGCGCCCUGCUCACCUGCCCGCGUUCCUCUCCGUCUAUAUGUCCGUCCUUGGUUGGUCUUCCGCCUCUGCCUCCGGUGCUGCCUCCGGCCGGGUGGAGAGUGGGGGCACAGGAAGCGUUUCCAGUUGGCCCAUGCCCAGGCAGCACUGAGCGCGGUCUCCUCAGAAUCUCUGUCGCAUCUGACAUGCAAGUUCUUCACUGUCCAGUGCUCGGAAUUCACUGUUGAGUGCACACAUCCGCCAUUGCUUCCUUCUCAUUGAAAUCCAUGUAGGUCAAAAACAUCUUCAACAAAAUAGAGUUCAUUUUAAUCCAAACCUUUUAAGAACUACUGCCUUUUGGAGUCAGAAGCUAAACCCCCAAAGAGCAGAGAGCUGACUAGUGAAAAUGGUUUGAUUAAAUCACAUUUAGGGUUUCUUACAGCUCAGCUUGAGGACCGACGUUCCCUAGCAAAGUGUGUGUGCUUACCGCACUGAACGUGGUCAGAAAAGGAGGGCUUGGUAAGAAUAGCGAGUGACGCGAGUCCUCCGUAAUAAAUACACCCAAACGCCGGGGCCAUUUCUCCUCUUCCCUCCUGUGCUUACCCCCCCCCCCCCCCGAAACCAGCGUCAGAGAGCUCAGGGGUCUUUGAGCAGGCAUAGUUGCUGCAAGUGCAGCAUUUAUAUUUAUAGGGUACUGCUUAUAAACUCGUGUAUGAGGGUGUGUUAAAAAGUUCAUGGGCAGUGAGAUGAAGAGGUAAGUUUAUUUGGUGCAAACACUUUUGUGGCAGAGCGAUGCAGGCACCCCAUGUCGGAGCACCACUUUGAGACCCGGCUGCUCCACUUCCCAUCCAGCUCCCUGCUAAUGUGCCUGGGAAAGCGGAGGGUGGCCCAGGCUCUCGGGCCCGGGAGUUCCUGCUUCUGACUUCCGCCUAGCCCAGCCCUGGGCUUUGCAGCCCGGUGGGGAUGGAAGAUAAUCAGUCUGUCCCUCCCUCCCUCACUCGCUCCCCCCCCUUCUCCCCCCUUCCUUUCCCACUCUGCCUGUGAAGUGAGUAAAUCUUAAAAUUCUUUUUGAAACCCAUGAAUUUUUUAAAAAGAUUUAUUUAUUUGAAAGGCAAAGUUAACACAGAAGGGGAGAGAUCUUCCAUCCAGUGGUUCACGCCCUAGAUGGCUGCAACGGCCGGGCCUGAUCCAGGCCAAAACUAGGAGCCAGGAGCUUAUUCCAGGUCUCCCACAGACGUGGAAGGGCCCAAGCACUUGGGCCAUCUUUGGCUGCUUUCCCCAGGCUACCAGCAGGGAGCGGCUGGGACAUGAACUGGUGCCCAUAUGGCAUGCUGACAGGGCGGGUGGCCGCUUUAUCUGGUACGCCACAAUGCUAGCCCCAUACCUUUUUUAAUAUUCAUUUUCCACACACUUUUAAAGACCUAACCUGGAUUAAGUGGCCACAUUGUGUUGGAAUAGUGAACUAGAAACCAGAGCCAUUGGACUGAGAGAGGAGAAGCAAGUGCAGACCAAAGCGUGUGGUGCGAGGGGAAGUUUCAGGGGAGGGUUAAGGCGAGGUGUGCUCGGGUAGCUGGUACCUCCCGGCACCGUUCAGGGCACGGGAGGUGGUGCAGGCGCCACUUGCUUGUUGCCGCUGUCGUGGACGCUGCUGGAGCUGUGCCGGGCCGUGUGCCUGGAGGAGGGGCUCCCAGCCCGGCCUGAAACGGCCAGGAUGACCUCCAGAGGGACGAGGCAGCGUGUCAGCUGCGUCAGUGAGCGCCCGAGUUCCCAGGAGAGCAGCAGACGUAAAGAAGUGAGACUAUGGGGUAAAGCAGCGGAAGUCGGCCCAGUCCUUGGGCCCCUGCACUCACACGGGAGACCUGGAGGAAGCUCCCGGCUUCAGAUGGGCCCAGCUCCGGCCAUUGUGGCCAGUUGGGGAGUGAACCAGCAGAUGGAAGAAAGACCUCACUCUCUCUCUCUCUCUGCCUCUCCUCUCUCUGUGUAACUCUGAGUUUCAAAUAAACAGAUCUUUUUUUUUUUUAAAAAAGUGAGACUGUGGGGUCGGCACUGUGGCAUAGUAAGUAAAGCUGCUGACUGUGGCACUGGCAUCCCAUGUGUGUGCUGGUUCUAGUCCCGGCUGCUCCACUUCCCAUCCAGCUCCCUGCCAGUGCACCUGGGAAAGCAGCAGCAGAUGGCCCAAGUGCUUGGGCUCCUGCACCCACAGAGGAGUCCUGGAGGAAGCUCCUGGCCCUGGCCUCACCCAGUUCUGCUUGUUGUGGCCAUCUGGGGAGUGAACCAGUGGAUGGAAGAUCUCUCCCUGUCUCUCCCUCUCUCUCUGUCUCUGUAACUCUGCCGUUGAAAUAAAUAAGUAAAUCUUAAAAAAGGUUAGACUGUGAGGUACAUCUGGUGUAACAGUUUUAUGUUCUUCAGGUGUAUGGGGGAUAAUGAGAGGCUGAGAGCAGGGAUGAACAGCUUUGGUCAUCGGGGUACUUAACUCAUCCCAUCCUGAUUUUAAGAAAGCUUAGGCUUUGGUCUGGAUUAUAUUUUUAACAAACAUAACCCUGGUAAUAUAAAGAACAUUUGUUGGGGCUGGUGUUAUGGCAUAGUGGGUAAAGCCGCCACCUGUGACGCUGGCAUCCCAUAUGGGCACCAGUUCAAGUCCCAGAUGCUCUACUUCUGAUCCUGCUCCCUGCUGAUGCACCUUGGAAAUCAGCAGAGGACGGCCCAAGUCCUUGGGUCCCUGUAUCCACGUGAAAGACCCGGAGGAAGCUCCUGGCUUCAGGCUGGCCCGGCUCCAGCCAUUGCAGCCAUUUGGAUGUGAACCAGUGGAUAGAAGAUCUCCUCUGUCUCUCCCUGUCUCUGUAACUCUGCCUUUCAAAUAAAUAAAUUUUUAAAGAGCAUUUAUUAAGGGGCAGGAAGGAUGAAAAUAAUAUUCAGAGGCCAGCACUGUGGCGCAGUGGGUGAGGUUACCUCUUCCAGUGGCAGCUUCCCACAGCAGAGCGCCGUUCUGAGUCCCGGCUGCUCGCUUCACACCCAGCUCCCUGCUGGUGCACCUGGGAAAGCAGCGAAGGUGGACCAGGUGCUUGGGCCCCUGCCACCAUGUGGGAGACCUGGACACAGUGCUGGCCCCUGGCUUCAGCUGGGCCCAGCACUGGGUGGCAUGGCCAUUAGGGGAGUAAACCAGCAGUAGAAUCAAUCAAUCUCUCUCUCUCUCUCUCUCUCUUUCUCUCUCUCUCUGUCACUCUGCCUCUCAAAUAAAUCUUUAAAAAAGAAAAAGUAAGACAUAGGAUGAAAAUGAUCAGGCCCAAAUUAAGCCCUGCAGUGAGGUAGAAGAGAAAUUGAGAUUCCCAAUGUUUUGGAAAUAAACUUGGGGUUUGGUGAUUGGUGGGGUUACAGAGAUGGGGCAAGGAGGGAGGAUGGGAGAAUGCUCAGGUGUUUGGCCAGGAAACUUUGGUGGGUGGUGCCUUUUGCCAACUAGGAAUGUAAGGGAAGGUUAGGUGGGGUGGACAGGGGUCAGGCAAGGUCGAUGGCGAGGUGUCGGUGGGACCUGCAGAUGGAGAUGGUCGGGGUCUCUCAGGUGGUGAGCUGCUCUGACCGGUGAAGCUUUGGUGCUGCAGCGAAGGACAGAGGAAUAAAGAAUACAGCACAGGGCUGGCGCCAUGGCGUAGCAGGUAAAGCCACUGCCUGUAGUGCCGGCAUCCCAUAUGGGCGCCAGUUCAAGUCCUGGCUGCUCUACUUCCAAUCCCAUUCUCUGCUAUGGCCUGGGAGAGCAGCGGAAGAUGGCCCAAGUACUUGGACCCUGCACUUGCAUGGGAGACCUAGAAGAGACUCUUGGCUCCUGGCUUCGGAUUGGUGCAACUCCAGCCGUUGCGGCCAGUUGGGGAGUGAACCAUCGGAUUAAAGACCUCUCUCUCUCUCUCUCUCUCUCUGCCUCUCUCUCUCUGUGUAACUUUGACUUUCAAAUAAAUAAGUAAAUCUUUUUUUUUUUUUAAAGUUUUUUGAGAAGCAGAGUUAGACAGUGAGAGAGACAGAGAAAGAAUUAUAGACAGAGAGAGACAGAGAGAAAGGUCUUCCUCCCGUUGGUUCACUCCCCUAAUGGCCACCACAGCCAACGCUGUGCCAAUCUGAAGCCAGGAGCAAGGCGCUUCCUCCCAGUCUCCCACGUGGGUGCAGGGCCCAAGGACCUGGGCCAUCCUCCACUGCCUUCCCGGGCCACAGCAGAGAGCUGGACUGGAAGAGGAGCAACCGGGACUAGAACCCGGGGUGCCAGUGCCACAGGAGGAGGAUUAGCCAAGUAAGCCAUGGCGCUGGCCCAUAAAUACGUAAAUCUUUUUU